rnacentral:misc_RNA from 1 species
UUUGCGCAUACGACGCUCACGGUCACACUGUGCGACUAACGCUAGUCUCAUUUUGGUUUUUUUUUUUUUAAACAAAUGCAUUUGUUUUUUAUUUUCGAACUGUGUGGAGUAAUACAAGUGCCCAAACGUGCGAACGCUUGUGGAAAAUGUUGUGAGAACGAAUCCAAGAAAAUUUGCGAUGUGCGUUAAACAGCAGCAUCAAAAUAUAAGAUAAAAUUAUCAAGCGACGCAUAAACACACGCACACACCGACACACAGCCACACACAUACAUUUCCAUGCAUCAACAAAAAGAACAACUACAACAACAACAGCGCACAGCUGCCGUGCUGCCAACCUGCGCCAGUUGCCUCUGCCCCCUGCUCGCCCACAAUCACAACGAUGAACCGAUCGUUAUGGCACUCGGCCAGCAAUGGCAUUGCGAUUGCUUUCGCUGUUCGGUAUGCGAUUCCCAUUUGCAUAGCUGGUAUUUUGAGCGCGAGAAUUUGCUGUAUUGCCGCGAGGAUUAUUAUGCGCGUUUCGGUGAUGCCUGCCAGCAGUGUACGGCGGUUAUAACGGGUCCGGUGAUGGUUGCCGGCGAGCAUAAAUUUCAUCCGGAAUGCUUUUGUUGUGCCGCCUGCGGUUCAUUUAUUGGCGAGGGCGAAUCCUAUGCCCUGGUCGAACGUUCCAAGCUCUAUUGCGGCCAUUGCUAUGGCAAACGCCUGCCCGUGGAUGCCCGGGCACGCAUCACAAAUGCCGGCAAGCCCAUGCAUUCCAUACGACUCGUCGAGAUACCCAAGGAUGCGACGCCCGGCCUCCGUGUGGAUGGCGGCGCCCUCGAUGAUGGUUGUCCCACGGUGCGGAUAACCGACUUAAUUUGUAAAUUUUAUGGUCGCAUGGGCAAAUACGCCUUCUCCCUGCUUACCUCGGUGGCGGAUCGUUGUUGUGCUUCAUAUAGGAUCGAUGUGAAUUUGACGAAUCUGCACAUUGGCGAUCGCAUACUGGAGGUCAAUGGCACACCUGUCAGCAAUUCGUCCGUGGACCAGAUCGACAAGCUGAUACGCAGCAACGAGAAGAUGCUCCAGCUGACCGUUGAGCAUGAUCCGGUGCAGGUGUGCCGCAGCUGCAGCCAGGCGGACAUUCAGCGUGCCAGCUCCGCAACGACCUUGGUGCUGCCGCUGAGCACAUCCGCCUCCAGCGUCGAGGUCGGCGGACGCGGUCGCGAGCGUCUCUAUAAGGCAGCCGCCACCGAGCCCAGCGGCAAGAUGCGCAAGAUGCGUCAGCAAACGGUGCAAUCCCUGCAAGCGUCCAAGUCAAGCGUGCAUCAGCCGCAGCAGCCCGUCGAACAGCAGCACCAGCAGCAGCAGCAGCAACCGGCACUGUCAUCCCAGCUGAAGGAGAAGGAGCGCUGCUCGAGCCUGUCCAAGCUAUUGGAUGAACAGCACACGGCGCAACAGCAUUCGGCGCAUCCGCAGCUCUACGAUUUGUCGCGCACCCAAAGCUGUCGCGUUGUCCAGAAACCGCAACGCAUAUUUCGCGCCUCCGAUCUGGUCAUGGGCGAGAAACUGGGCGAGGGCUUCUUUGGCAAGGUGUACAAGGUGACGCAUCGUCUGACCGGCGAGCUGAUGGUGCUCAAGGAGCUGCAUCGCGCCGAUGAGGAGGCGCAGCGUAAUUUCAUCAAAGAGGUCGCCGUGCUGCGUCUGCUCGACCAUCGACACGUGCUCAAGUUCAUUGGCGUGCUCUACAAGGACAAGAAGCUGCAUAUGGUCACCGAAUAUGUGGCCGGCGGCUGUCUCAAGGAGUUGAUUCAUGACCCAACACAAACGCUGAGCUGGGCGCAGCGCGUCUGCCUGGCCAGGGACAUUGCCUGCGGCAUGAGCUAUCUGCAUUCCAUGAACAUCAUCCAUCGUGAUCUCAACUCGAUGAAUUGUCUGGUGCGCGAGGAUCAUUCGGUGAUCGUUGCCGACUUUGGUCUGGCACGCAGCGUCGAUGCGCCCCGUUUACCGGGCGGCAUGCCCACGUCCAGCGCCAGUGGCAGCUCAGCGUCUGGCAUGGACGCGAACGCCAUGUCGCCCAGCGGCACGCUGAGGCGCAGCAAGAGUCGACAGCGACGCCAGCGCUAUACGGUGGUGGGCAAUCCCUAUUGGAUGGCGCCCGAGAUGAUGAAGGGCCUCAAGUACGACGAGAAAGUGGAUGUCUUCUCCUUUGGCAUAAUGCUAUGCGAGAUCAUUGGCCGCGUAGAGGCCGAUCCGGACUAUAUGCCACGCAACUCGGACUUCAGUCUCAAUCAGCAGGAGUUUCGCGAAAAGUUUUGCGCCCAGUGCCCGGAGGCGUUCGUUAAGGUGGCCUUCGUCUGUUGCGACCUGAAUCCGGAUAUGCGUCCGUGCUUCGAGACGCUGUACGUUUGGCUGGAGCAGCUGCGCCAGCAUUUGGAUGCACAGCAACAGACGCCGGCGCGUCUGCUGCACGAAAUCGAAAACUUUCAGGAUAGCUACAUCAGCUCCGAGGAUGCCCUGUCGCCCACCUCGCAGCGCAGUCUGGACAACCUGAACGUGACGGACACCGCAUCCGAAAAGACAACUCCGCUGACGGCGACAACGACAACGAUGGCGACGGCAACAAAGCUGCCCGCCAGCGAGCUGGAGGAGAAGGAGAACGUGGAGCUGUUGGAGAACGUGGUGAUGCGGCCGCAGGAUAUACCCAAAUCGCCGCAUCUGGGCAAGGAUUUCUCGCCCAGCGGCGAACGUUUGCGCGACAGCAUGCGCGCCCGUCGCCGGCAACGUUUCCUGGGCGCCCAGCCCGCCCAGCUGCGCGGCCUUACGCCGGAAACGACCUCGACGGAGCGUGCGCUCAAGCAGGCGCUCAAGAAAUGCCGGCCAUUCGGCGAAAAGGGUUAUCUUGUGGACCUGCGGCCGGGCGCCGAGCUGCAGCUAAACGAUGUGCGCGACCUGAACAACUAUUCGGACGUGGACUCCAGCUGCGAUACGAGCCUCAAUUAUCAUGAGGUGAAUGCCCCAACGCCGACGCCGCCGCCGGUGGCGCCGCCCACGCCGCCACCUUUGCCGCCGCCGGAGCAUCGGCUAGCGUUUGAGGAUAUGCGCACGCGUCUGCAUCAAUGCCGCAGCAAAUUCGAGCAUCUGGAGGAGGCGAAUCGACGCAACUUUAGUCAAUCGCAGCACUCGAUGCGCAACUUCUUUAAAACGCCGCCGGUGGCCCUCAAAAUGUUUCAGCGUCUCGAGCACGAGGCCUCGCUGAACGGCAACAAGGCGACCGCGCAGCGCAUCAAUCAGACGCCCAUCUUUGGACGCAGACAGCUGCCCGCGCCACAGACGCAGCUGCAGCAGGCGGAAUCGCUGGAGCAUCUGGUAACAGCAGCAACAGCAACAACGCCGACAGCGGCCAAGCAGACGCCGGCGCCCAAACGCAGCAAAGCGGCCGCCAGCAUUGCCGCUGCCAUUGCCGAGCCGCAUGCCACAGCAACGGCUAUGCCAGCUGCCGCCCAAGCAGCGCCAGCGGCAACAGCAACUGCCAGCGAUUGCCUGCCCAAGAAGCACAAGCUGACGCUGCCGUUGGCCGCCAGCACGCAGCAGCGACGUCCUGUACAGGCGCCCAGCAAGGCCAAGCCGCUGAAGACCACAGCCAAUGGGAGCGGCGGCGCCGGCUGCGUCUCACCGACACGCAACAGACCCGGCUCGCCGGGCAAGCAUCUGGCACAGCGACACACGGCCGCGACAGCGCAGCGACAGAGCAACAAUCAUGUCUCAUCAGUCCAGCAGCAGCAGCAGCAGCAGCAGCUCUCGAAGAGCACUCGCCUCAGCAUACUCAGUCCGGAGAAGGUGCAUCGCCUGGGCGCCCGUCUCACUGACCAGAAGCAGAAGAUGCGCGAGGAGGCGGCAGCAGCAGCGGCGGCGGCUGCUGCUGCUGCUGCUUUGGGCGCACGCAGCAAUGGCCAUGCUGGAGCGGGGCAUGGACGCGCGGGUGCGGCUGGAGCGGGCAACAGUGUGACCGUAGAUCGUAGAAGACGAGCGGCGCCAGCGCCGCCGCCGCCGGUGCGGACGCACUUUAAUACACGUUGUUAACUGUUAUAUGUUCGAUGGCUGUUAUACGCGUGUGGCAAUUGUGUUGUGAACUGUCAUAUUUGUGCAGAAAUUCCCAUAACUGUUAUAUGCAUCAAACGCACAAGCCCAGCAAUUGUUACAAACGACAACUGUUAUACACAGCAGCAGCAACUUAUACCUACAACUGUAAUACACUUCUAACAGUGGCUGUUAAGCACGCCUGGCAACUGCACUGGGCAUCAACUGUUAUACACAACUAUGCUCAACCAUUAUGCACGAGAACAGCUACAAAUAUCUACCACGAUUGUUAUAGGGCGCUUUUAUUGCCUGUUAUACAGCAGCUCCAAUCGUUAUACGCCCAAGCAGAUGAAUGCAGUAGCCCAGAUGGUGUUAUAAACAGUAACUGUUAUACAUGGCAACACAUCAAUAACGAAAACAAGAACAACAGCAGCAGCAGCAGCAGCAACGCAUUCCCACAACUGUUAUACAACGCAUUCCACAAACGCAAACAUUCCAUCGUGCAUUGCAUUGGCGAUACGAAAAAGAAAAAGCCCAAAAACGACAAAUCAACGAAGCUGACGACGAACAGAAAACGAAGCGAACAGCGUUGCCACCUGGCGGUAACCAGCGGCAGCGCAGCGACGGCAGUUGCCAAAACUGUCCGACUGUAGUAGUAGAAGUAGCUCUUUCGCGCGAAAGAGAGAAGCAGAAGAAAGUAAAAAGAAAAAGAGUAGGCCAGUCAGAAUGAGCUAGAGUUAGAGAGAAAGAGAGAGAUAUUGUUAACAAAGUUAUAAGCAAAAUGUUACGAAACUUGCCACAUAAACUGUGCAGCUAAUCCAACUGUUAUACAGCUUGUAUAACAGCAAAAUCAACUGUAAAAACAACUAACGCACCGCGGUAUAACAUAUGUAUAACAGUUAUGCUCAAUUAUAACAACUGUUGCACAGCGUUUGUUUAC